UACGUAGGGGGCAAGCGUUAUCCGGAUUUACUGGGUGUAAAGGGGGCGCAGACGGCGACGCAAGCCAGGAGUGAAAGCCCGGGGCCCAACCCCGGGACUUCUCUUGGAACUGCGUGGCUGGAGUGCAGGAGGGGCAGGCGGAAUUCCUGGUGUAGCGGUGAAAUGCGUAGAUAUCAGGAGGAACACCGGUGGCGAAGGCGGCCUGCUGGACUGCAACUGACGUUGAGGCCCGAAAGCGUGGGGAGCAAACAGG
rnacentral:rRNA from 1 species